rnacentral:rRNA from 1 species
GCAAGUCGAGCGAUUUACUUCGGUAAAGAGCGGCGGACGGGUGAGUAACGCGUGGGUAACCUGCCCUGUACACACGGAUAACAUACCGAAAGGUAUGCUAAUACGAGAUAAAAUACUUUUAUCGCAUGGUAGAAGUAUCAAAGCUUUUGCGGUACAGGAUGGACCCGCGUCUGAUUAGCUAGUUGGUAAGGUAACGGCUUACCAAGGCGACGAUCAGUAGCCGACCUGAGAGGGUGAUCGGCCACAUUGGAACUGAGACACGGUCCAAACUCCUACGGGAGGCAGCAGUGGGGAAUAUUGCACAAUGGGCGAAAGCCUGAUGCAGCAACGCCGCGUGAGCGAUGAAGGCCUUCGGGUCGUAAAGCUCUGUCCUCAAGGAAGAUAAUGACGGUACUUGAGGAGGAAGCCCCGGCUAACUACGUGCCAGCAGCCGCGGUAAUACGUAGGGGGCUAGCGUUAUCCGGAAUUACUGGGCGUAAAGGGUGCGUAGGUGGUUUCUUAAGUCAGAGGUGAAAGGCUACGGCUCAACCGUAGUAAGCCUUUGAAACUGGGAAACUUGAGUGCAGGAGAGGAGAGUGGAAUUCCUAGUGUAGCGGUGAAAUGCGUAGAUAUUAGGAGGAACACCAGUUGCGAAGGCGGCUCUCUGGACUGU